GCUCGGCCCCUGGGGGGCGCUGGGGCUGCGGGCGCUGGGCGCCGCCGCCCUGGGGCUGGGGGCGCUGCGGCUGCUGGUGCCCCUCCUGCCGCCCCCCUGAGCGCACCUGGGCGCACCUGGGCACACCUGGAUACACCUGGAUGGACGUGGAUGGACGUGGAACACACCUGGAUGGACAUGGGCACACCUGGGUACACCUGGAUGGGCGUGGACACACCUGGAGGGGUCACCUGUGCAGUUCCGGGGGUACCAGGUGUGCCCACGCCCCUCCUGCCGCCCCCCUGAGCGCGCCCGGGCACACCUGGGCGCACCUGGAUGGACGUGGGCACACCUGGAUGGACAUGGGCACACCUGGAGCGCACCUGGAUACACCUGGAUGGACGUGGAACGCACCUGGAUGGACAUGGGCACACCUGGAUACACCUGGAUGGGCGUGGAACGCACCUGGAUGGACGUGGACACACCUGGAGCACACCUGGAUGGACGUGGAUGGACGUGGAACACACCUGGAUGGACGUGGAUGGACGUGGAACGCACCUGGAUGGACGUGGACACACCUGGAGGGGUCACCUGUGCGGUUCCGGGGGUGCCAGGUGUGCCCACGCCCCUCCUGCCGCCCCCCUGAGCGCACCUGGGCGCACCUGGGCGCACCUGGAUAGACAUGGACACACCUGGAGCACACCUGGGCACACCUGGAUCACACCUGGGCUUUAUUUGGGGGGGCAGGAAUCGAGUCCAGGUGUGCCGGGGAGG
rnacentral:lncRNA from 1 species